UUAAAAGUUCCUAACUUCCUGUUUCAUUGACCAAUCAAAUUUUAUAUUUUAUUUUUGAGCAAUCUGAUUGGUUAAUGAAACAGGAAGUUAGGUACAUUUUAA
rnacentral:miRNA from 1 species